rnacentral:misc_RNA from 1 species
GAUGAAGAACGCAGCGAAAUGCGAUAAGUAAUGCGAAUUGCAGAAUUCAGUGAGUCAUCGAAUCUUUGAACGCACAUUGCGCCCUGUGGUAUUCCGCAGGGCAUGCCUGUUCGAGCGUCAUUUCAACCCUCAAGCUCUGCUUGGUGUUGGGCCCUGCCCGCUGCGGCCGGCCCUAAAGACAGUGGCGGUGCCGCCUGGCCCUGAGCGUAGUACAUCUCUCGCUCCAGUGCCCGGUGGUAGCCUGCCAGAACCCCAACUCUCGUGGUUGACCUCGGAUCAGGUAGGGAUACCCGCUGAACUUGAGCAUAUCAAUAAGCGGAGGA